rnacentral:misc_RNA from 1 species
UGGGUUUGACAUGCACGUGGUAAAACCGGGAAACCGGGAUGACCCGCAAGGGAGCGUGCACAGAUGCUGCAUGGCUGUCGUCAGCUCGUGCCGUGAGGUGUUGGGUUAAGUCCCGCAACGAGCGCAACCCUCGCUGCCAGUUACCAUGUCUGGCGGGACCGCCGGGUCCAACCCGGAGGAAGGUGGGGAUGACGUAUUCUACG